UACGUAGGGUCCAAGCGUUAUCCGGAAUCACUGGGCGUAAAGCGUGCGUAGGUGGAUUGUUAAGUGCAAUGCGAAAUCCUGUGGCUCAACCAUAUGGACUGUAUUGCAUACUGGCAAUCUGGAGGACAUGAGAAGCAAGUGGAAUUACUGGUGUAGCAGUGAAAUGCGUAGAUAUCAGUAGGAACACCAAUGGCGAAGGCAGCUUGCUGGCAUGUUUCUGACGCUAAGGCACGAAAGCGUGGGGAGCGAACAGG
rnacentral:rRNA from 1 species